GCAUCAGUGGUCUAGUGGUAGAAUACAUCGUUGCCAUCGAUGUGACCCGGGUUCGAUUCCCGGCUGAUGCA
rnacentral:tRNA from 1 species